rnacentral:rRNA from 1 species
ACCCAAAAAGACCCGGAGACGCCGUCGGGAGAUCCGGAGAGASUUUUCUUUUCUCUAUAAGCGUUCGAGUUCCAUGGAAUCCUUUAGCAGGGCGAUAUGGUUUGGAACGCGAAGAGCACCGCAGUUGCGGCGGUGUCCGGAUCUUCCCCUCGGACCUUGAAAAUCCGGGAGAGGGCCACGUGGAAUGCUCGCACCGGAUCGUACCCAUAUCCGCAGCAGGUGUCCAA